ensembl:snoRNA
GUGCUGCCUUUGAGCACCUACUGUGCACCUCCACAUGUUGCCAAGGGUCAGGCUGCAGAACCAGACCAUGUACUUGUAUACAACUGGGGCUGCCCCCACACCCAUAGGUGGCUUUUUUAAUUGUGAGCCACAUGG